rnacentral:misc_RNA from 1 species
UACGGAGGGUGCUAGCGUUGUUCGGAAUUACUGUGCGUAAAGGGCGCGUAGGCGGAUAUUCAAGUCGGGGGUGAAAUCCCGGGGCUCAACCCCGGAACUGCCUCCGAUACUGGAUGUCUGGAGGACGGAAGAGGCGAGCGGAAUGCCGAGUGUAGAGGUGAAAUUCGUAGAUAUUCGGCGGAACACCCGUGGCGAAGGCGGCUCGCUGGUCCGUUUCUGACGCUGAGGCGCGGAAGCGUGGGGAGCAAACAGG